rnacentral:rRNA from 1 species
GAUGAACGCUGGCGGCGUGCCUAACACAUGCAAGUCGAGCGAUCUUCUUCGGGAGAGAGCGGCGGACGGGUGAGUAACGCGUGGGUAACCUGCCUCAUACACAUGGAUAACAUACCGAAAGGUAUGCUAAUACAAGAUGAUAUAAGAGAUUCGCAUGGAUUUCUUAUCAAAGCUUUUGCGGUAUGAGAUGGACCCGCGUCUGAUUAGCUAGUUGGUAAGGUAAUGGCUUACCAAGGCGACGAUCAGUAGCCGACCUGAGAGGGUGAUCGGCCACACUGGAACUGAGACACGGUCCAAACUCCUACGGGAGGCAGCAGUGGGGAAUAUUGCACAAUGGGCGAAAGCCUGAUGCAGCAACGCCGCGUGAGCGAUGAAGGCCUUCGGGUCGUAAAGCUCUGUCCUCAAGGAAGAUAAUGACGGUACUUGAGGAGGAAGCCCCGGCUAACUACGUGCCAGCCGCCGCGGUAAAAC